GGAAGGAGCAAAACAAAAUCUAAACAGGAAUCUUUUUACAAAAACGUUAGAAUAAAAAGAACAGGGCCGGGGAAGAAUAAACAGCAACUAAUCAAUUCUUGAGGGAACUGGAAAGGAAUAUCUCUUACAAAGCAGGGAAAGAUGCUUUGGGAGGAAGGUGAGCAAGUUUUGGGGAAAACCCGCAACGGAGAAAGAAAGGAAUGGGGAGAGGAUGGGACUAAAUUGUGGAAAAUGUAGAAGAUGGAGAAAAAAGAAUGGGGUUGGAUGCAAGCAUAAAGAAGAAAGGAAAAAGACCUGGCGGAAAGAAGAGGAGCGGAAUCGAUAUACAUACAAAACAGGAAAUGGAGCUGGGAGUGGGAGAUACUACCGGGUACAGGAUUCAGAAGAGGAAGAGGUGGGGCGGGAAUGACGGACCUGUGGGAAUGAGGUUGAAGGUGCAUAGUGGCGGGGGGUUUUAAGGGCGGCGAUGGACGGAGACAGGUUAUGAUGUGAGAGAACGAGCUAGGGAGAGGGCCCAGAGAUAGGUUGGGAGUAGGGUGGGGGAAACAGUGAUCUAAAGGGACAAGAGGCAGGGGCUUGGAGGAGCAGGGCCGUAAGAAAGAACGCGGCUAACGGGAUGAGAAUGAAGGCGCCAACACACUGCCAAGAUGGAGUGGGAAAAAACUAGAGAGGGAUGAGGCGGAGGGCAAAGGAUCGGAGAGAGGGGAUGAGGAUGGCUAGGGAAGAACGGCAGAAGUUCGGCCCAGAAUAAAGAACAGGGUCAGGACAGAAGACGUGUUUGGAGAGAAGACAGACUUGAGUGGAGGGGAAUGGAGGUGCACUGAGCGGGGAAACCUCCUGGGCUGCUGGAAGGUGGGGACAGGUGGGAGUCUGGCAGAUAACUGCUCACCGUAGAGUCCUUAAAGGACGUGCCCGGAAGAAAGGGCAAGCCAUGCACGGGAUUGGACACCAUUGCAGCCGGUACCACCGCCGCCACCUAGGUCCUGCUUCGUCCUCUCCGGUUGCCCAGGCGACAAGCAGUGUUCGCGGGCACCUCCAGGAUCCAUGGUAACGCUAAACAUCCGGAACUCCCACGAGCGGAAGGCGGGGCCAGGAGGCGCAGGCAUCACAGGAGGUUUGCGCGUGCGCCAUCCGCAGGACUCCGCGUUCUCGCGACACCAACUGAGGAUGGAUGCCAGUCACUGGAGGAAUAUGUCAAGAUGGCAAGUUUGCUGGGUGCGGUGGCUCACGCCUGUAAUCCCAGCACUUUGGGAGGCCGAGGCGGGUGGAUCGCCUGAGGUCAGAGUUUGAGACCAGCCUGGACAACAUAGUGAAACCCCACCUCUACUAAAAAUACAAAAUUAGCUGGGCAUGGGGGCGCAUGCCUGUAAUCCCAGCUACUUGGGAGGCUGAGGCACGAGAAUCGCUUGAACCCGGGAGGUAGAGGUUGCAGUGAGCCGAGAUCGCGCCAUUGCACUCCAGCCUGGGCAACAAGAGCAAAACUCCGUCUCAAAAAAAGGAAAAAAAAAAAAAAAGAUGGCAAGUUUAACCUUUCAAAGAUAAGGCACCUCUCCCACUUCUCUCCACCUCAUUGACGCUGAUUACCCAGAAUCACUGGUUACUGUAAUUUUUGCUGACUCUUCAUGAUAACCUUAAACUGUUAGAAGUUCCAUGAUCCCUCCCUACCCACUCUCUUAUUAAAAGUAAAUUUCAUGGCAUUAGGACACACUUUGAAGAGCUCUUCUUGACUAAGUGCAUGGUUGCACUUGGAUCUAUAUUCCUGGGUUGGGUAGGGAAGGAGCGUGUGGAGCUGGAAAGGCUGAGUCAUGCCUAAGCCUAUUGUCCAUUAUCGCAUCUGUUUCUAUUUGAGGAGUGCCCUCUGCUCAUGCCUUUCUUUCCAGAAAAGCACGCCAGUUAAAUGGCUAAGGGGUGUGUUUUAACUACUUUCGGACCCCAGAAAUGCAUGAAGACAACUUCUGUUGGUCUAUGGCCUCCUAAAAAUGCUAUCAUCUCUGAGGAGGGGAAGUCAGAC
rnacentral:lncRNA from 10 species